GAUUUUCAUGCAACGCAGAAGUGAUGCGUGAAAAUCACCGCUCAUGUGAACAGCCCCAUAUAAAUGAAUGGGUCCGGAUUCAGUGCGGGUGCUAUGCGUUCACGUCACGCAUCGUACCCACGUGGAAAACUCACUCAUGUGAAAGGAGCGUUA